AGAGUUUGAUCCUGGCUCAGAACGAACGCUGGCGGCAGGCUUAACACAUGCAAGUCGAACGCCCCGCAAGGGGAGUGGCAGACGGGUGAGUAACGCGUGGGAAUCUACCGUACCCUACGGAAUAACGCAUGGAAACGUGUGCUAAUACCGUAUACGCCCUUCGGGGGAAAGAUUUAUCGGGGUAUGAUGAGCCCGCGUUGGAUUAGCUAGUUGGCGGGGUAAAGGCCUACCAAGGCGACGAUCCAUAGCUGGUCUGAGAGGAUGAUCAGCCACAUUGGGACUGAGACACGGCCCAAACUCCUACGGGAGGCAGCAGUGGGGAAUAUUGGACAAUGGGCGCAAGCCUGAUCCAGCCAUGCCGCGUGAGUGAUGAAGGUCUUAGGAUUGUAAAGCUCUUUCACCGAUGAAGAUAAUGACGGUAGUCGGAGAAGAAGCCCCGGCUAACUUCGUGCCAGCAGCCGCGGUAAUACGAAGGGGGCUAGCGUUGUUCGGAAUUACUGGGCGUAAACCGCACGUAGGCGGAUAUUUAAGUCAGGGGUGAAAUCCCGCAGCUCAACUGCGGAACUGCCUUUGAUACUGGGUAUCUCGAGUAUGGAAGAGGUGAGUGGAAUUCCGAGUGUAGAGGUGAAAUUCGUAGAUAUUCGGAGGAA
rnacentral:rRNA from 1 species